GCCAGGCCCGCGAGCGCCGCGGUCACUAGGAGACGGUGCCUGGGGGUGCUGAGCCCGCCCGGAGCCGCCUGCGUCCGCGCCGGGCUCGGCCUCCCUGCGCCUUGAGCCCCGGCCCACGCUGGGGCUUCUCUUCCCAAGCUGGGUUGCCGUCGGGCAGAGCUGUACACUCCCCAAGUCAGAAGCCAAGGCCCCAAGCGUAGACGCAGACAAGAGCGGCACCAUUAAGGCAUACACUACUGGGAGCUUCUCCGUGCCUGCGUGAAGACUCCCUCUUGCCUCCGGGAAAAGUAUCGUCUGCACCUUCUUGCUCCAGGAGCGGGGGUGGGGAGUGCAGCGCGGAGGAGGCAGCGCUGGGAUGACUCAACAGUGCGGCAUCUGGGGGCGCCGCGGAGGCCGGGACUGCGUAAGCGGCGAUAGGGUAGGACCCACGGCCUCCUCGCAGGCAUUCUUGGAGCUCGGUUCCGCGGUCGGUCGGGAUCUCCUGGGAAGUCUCGCCGGAGUCAGGCAGGCCUUAGGAAGAAGCUGCCUGAUGUGCAGGGUUUCAUAGGCGGUUAAGAGAGGGCAUCCUGGAGGAGCCCUGGCAUCAGGAAGUAGAGACGGGGUUUCACCGUGGUCUCGAUCUCCUGACCUUGUGAUCCGCCCGCCUCAGCCUCCCAAAGUGCUGGGAUUACAAGCGUGAGCCACCGCGCCCGGCCCAAGAGCAACACUUUUAAGGCAGGUCACACUGGUGGUUUCUCCCUACCCUGGGAUCACUUACAGGUGCCCUCUCCCCCAACAGCCAGAAAGGGAAAACAGAGCCAAGUUUGGCCACUGGGGCCUCCACAGCCCUCUGGAAGAAGGGGCUGACUGACAGGAAGGCACUCCUCUGGUGUUCACUGGCCAGACCCCUGUGGGCUCAGAAGACUACCUAGACCCCAUGAAGAAAGACUCUAGACACAUUUUUAUAAUCAGAAACUUAGUUUAUUGUGAAUAAACCACUCAACUUUGAGCAGA